rnacentral:rRNA from 1 species
GAUGAACGCUGGCGGCGUGCCUAGUACAUGCAAGUCGAGCGAACAGACGAGGAGCUUGCUCCUCUGACGUUAGCGGCGGACGGGUGAGUAACACGUGGAUAACCUACCUAUAAGACUGGGAUAACUUCGGGAAACCGGGGCUAAUACCGGAUAAUAUAUUGAACCGCAUGGUUCAAUAGUGAACGACGGUUUUGCUGUCACUUAUAGAUGGAUCCGCGCCGCAUUAGCUAGUUGGUAAGGUAACGGCUUACCAAGGCGACGAUGCGUAGCCGACCUGAGAGGGUGAUCGGCCACACUGGAACUGAGACACGGUCCAGACUCCUACGGGAGGCAGCAGUAGGGAAUCUUCCGCAAUGGGCGAAAGCCUGACGGAGCAACGCCGCGUGAGUGAUGAAGGUCUUCGGAUCGUAAAACUCUGUUAUUAGGGAAGAACAAAUGUGUAAGUAACUAUGCACGUCUUGACGGUACCUAAUCAGAAAGCCACGGCUAACUACGUG